GGCGGCGUAGCUCAGGUGGUUAGAGCGUGGGCUUCAUAAUCCCAAGGUCACUGGUUCGAAUCCAGUCGCCGCUA
rnacentral:tRNA from 1 species